AAGAGCGAAGUAUAUAGUACGUUUUAGUUACAUUAAAAAAGGCUCAUAAGAGCGCUCUUA
rnacentral:tRNA from 1 species